GGGGAGAAGACCAGGCUUCUAGCAGGAGGAAGGGGGCACCAGCACUUGGGAGAGAGCAGUGCUGCAGUCAGGGACCCAGGGAGCUAAAGAGAGCUCCUGGCUAUCUGCUAGGGCCCGCAGGCUGAGACCCUGAGGCUAUGUGAGUUACGAUGGUUCAACUUUGUCACCUUAACUGGACACAUUUGACAAAUACCACAUUGUUGAAAUAUACGAGAGAGCCUGUGGACAGACCAUGUCCCUUUUCUGCCCAGUAGGAGGAUCAUGUUAAUACAAAUCAUAUAGAUACAUCUACAAAAAUGAAAGCAACAUGGUAUGAAGACCCCUUUCCAAACUCUAAACUAAUGACAUUCUAACCAGUGAUAGAAUGUGGUCUGCAGAGGACAGUCCAUUGGGUUCUGA